rnacentral:rRNA from 1 species
UUCUUACUGAUUUUAUUGUAAGUAACACCUGCUCAAUGAUUUUUAAAUAGCCGCGGAAAUUUAACUGUGCUAAGGUAGCAUAAUCAUUAGCCUUUUAAUUGAAGGCCCGUAUGAAUGGUGUAACAUUUCAAUAUCUUUAUUAAUUAAUAUAUUAAAAUUUAAAUUAAGAAUAAAAAUGUUCUUAUAUAUUAAAUAGACGAUAAGACCCUUUUGAACUUAACUUUAGUUUGGCUGGGGCAGCCAAAAAAUAAUAAUCUUUUUAUAAUUUUUAUAAUAAAUAAUCCAAUAAAAUUGAUUAUGAACAAGUUACCAUAGGGAUAACAGCGUAAUAUUUUUUAAAAGCUCUUAUAAAAAAAAAUGAUUGCGACCUCGAUGUUGAAUUAGUAAAACUUUAUAGAAGCAAUAGUUUUAUAAGUAAGUCUGUUCGACUUUUAAAUUACUACAU